UGCAAUUUUACAUAGGUGGCGCUAGUAAAAAUAAAUGGCAGCCUCCAUGGUUAGCUGUACGCUGCAAAGUUAUUUUGAUGCAUCCUGUGAUGUUUAUUGCAAAAAUAUGUGUGAAGUGACAUAAAUUGGUUGAAAGGAUUCUACAAGAACAGAUUAGGCAUAGUUUUCGGGCACAAGUAUAGCCAUGUGUCGUGUUGAUUAGUAUAUUGACCUUGUUGACAUGGUUGACGUUCUCCCGAAAUGGUACUCGCCUACUGACACCGUUCUGAUCUAUAUCAGAAGUUUAAAUUCUACGGUAAUCCACCAGAGUCCAAGAGUAAACUCUCAGAGAGGGGUGGCAGUCCGAUUUUGUCAGCUUACUCGACUUGGAGAGGGAAGAUAAUGUACAUUUUACAUUUGACCAGAAUGUAUGCGAUGGGCUGCAUCAUGGUUUUGAAGGAAAAGGUUACAUUAAUUAUUACAGACAGCAAGAAAACAUCAUUGAACACCAACAACUAAUAAGACUCCAAAGGAAUAAUGGAAAAUAAGAUAUUUAAAGCUGUCAAAAAGCAGAGUUUAGAGUUCAGUGGAUUCCAUGAUGGUACUUUGGAUAAUGUUAAUCAGGCAGCAAUUCUUUUCCAAAGGAUCUUAAGUGCUUUUAGAAGAGGCUAAUAAACAAAGGACAGUCACUUACUACAGCAGAGAAGCAGGGGAGAUUAAUGAUAUUCUGAGUGGCAUGACUGCACCUUACAAAGAAUAUGUAAAACUUUAAAAAUUGUGUUUACAUAUACAAUGAUUAUAUGAUUAAUGUAUCUAGUAAUCAAUAUUAAUAUGAUUAAUAUUUUCAAAUGUUUUUUACAUUUUACUGUUCAUUAAUGAAAAAAAUAAUUUGUGUUGUAUUUGAAUUUGGAAAUGUAAAGGAAUUUAUUUUAAAAUGUAAACUGAUAUUCUUACAUGUAAACAUGUACUGGCAUAUGUACAUGGUGUAUUUAUUGGACUCUGACAAAAGAUGAUGCUACUUCUUUUUUGGAGAAAUUAUUAAUCACAAUGAUUUUUGUGCACAUGAUUUUUUUUAAUUUUCUAUAGGGUAUGGUAUCUAUGAAAACUACUCAGCCUUUUUGUUUGGCUAUUUUUUAAAUCAUAGAUAUAUUUUAUUUUCUUGAUAACCGAAAUCCUCAAAAAAUGAUAUUUUGUUGUUUUUUGUCAACAUGAAUUAUCUCCCCCUUUCAGCUUGAAAUUAGAAAUAAUACUGUAGAUAUAGAUAUAAUUUGAUUAUUGAAAAUAAAUAAUUGUGUUGUAUUUGGAUUUGGAACUAUAAAGAAAUUGUUUUGAAAUGCUAUUUAUAAUUUAACAUGCAUAUUAAAUAUAUACUUGACAUUUAUUUGACCGUGAUGAAAAAGUGAAUUUCCCAUUUUUUGUAUAAAACUCUUCAAUGGCUUUUGGAAAUUAAUAAUCAAUUGCACAAAAAUGUUUUUAAUAUUUUAUUUUCCAUAAGGUAUGGUGUCUAGGAAAUAAACACUGCCUUUCUUUUUGGCUGUAGUGUAUUUUUUCUUUAAAUUUUUUAUCAUAUAGCUGAAUUAAGCUGUAAAUCCUUUUAAAAUUGAAAAUUUCAGUUUUUCUCGACAUGGAUUAUCUCCCCUUUUCAGCUUAAAAUUAAAAACUAUUCCUGGACGUGGUAAUAUUUGGAUUAAUUAUAAAAAGUAAACAAUUUAAUUGUAUUUGAAAAUGGGAAUAUAAAAAAAUGGUUUUGAAAUGCUAUUUAUUUUUUACAUGCAAACAUAUAUGGCAUAUAUUGGACUGUGACAAAAAAAGAGAAAUUACCAUUUUUGUACAAAAUUCAUCAGUUGUUUUGGGAAAUUAAUAAUCAUCUGCACAAAAAUGUUUUAAUAAUUUUAUUGACUUUAGACUAUAGUCUCUAUGAAACUAGCAUGGCUUUUUAGUUUGGCUGUGGGGUUUUUAGAAAUUUUUGAUAGACAAAAAUCCUAAAAAAUGGAUAUUUUACAUUUUUUGCCAAUAUGGAUUAUCUCCCCUUUUUAGCUUAAAAUUAGAACACAUUACUGGUCAUAAAAAUAUUUUGACUAGAUAUGGAUAGUAACUACUUAUGCUGUAUAUUGAUAAGAAAUAAACAUAAAUUUGUUUUAUUGUUUAGUUUUCUUUUCAUUUAAUCUUCAUUAUUGGUAUUUUUGCCUGCUUUUAGAGGAAAUUUCAGCCAUUUUUUGCCCAAAACAGUUUAUCGGUUGCCAUGGAUACCAAUGGCAGAAUUAAGAAAAAUAUAUAAUUUUUUUUGGAGUAUCUUAGCAUACUCUACCAACAUGCAAAGUUUGAAGAAAUUCUGAAACCCCCCAUGAAUCACCCUCUGCAUGAUUUUUACA